rnacentral:rRNA from 1 species
CUUGCUCCUUUGACGUUAGCGGCGGACGGGUGAGUAACACGUGGAUAACCUACCUAUAAGACUGGGAUAACCUCGGGAAACCGGAGCUAAUACCGGAUAACAUAUUGAACCGCAUGGUUCAAUAGUGAAAGGCGGCUUUGCUGUCACUUAUAGAUGGAUCCGCGCCGUAUUAGCUAGUUGGUAAGGUAACGGCUUACCAAGGCAACGAUACGUAGCCGACCUGAGAGGGUGAUCGGCCACACUGGAACUGAGACACGGUCCAGACUCCUACGGGAGGCAGCAGUAGGGAAUCUUCCGCAAUGGGCGAAAGCCUGACGGAGCAACGCCGCGUGAGUGAUGAAGGUCUUCGGAUCGUAAAACUCUGUUAUCAGGGAAGAACAAAUGUGUAAGUAACUGUGCACAUCUUGACGGUACCUGAUCAGAAAGCCACGGCUAACUACGUGCCAGCAGCCGCGGUAAUACGUAGGUGGCAAGCGUUAUCCGGAAUUAUUGGGCGUAAAGCGCGCGUAGGCGGUUUUUUAAGUCUGAUGUGAAAGCCCACGGCUCAACCGUGGAGGGUCAUUGGAAACUGGAAAACUUGAGUGCAGAAGAGGAAAGUGGAAUUCCAUGUGUAGCGGUGAAAUGCGCAGAGAUAUGGAGGAACACCAGUGGCGAAGGCGACUUUCUGGUCUGUAACU